rnacentral:piRNA from 2 species
CACCGGAAAGAGGAGAAGAUGAAGAG